AUGAUCGCGUGCAUAUGUCGAACGAAAUUUUUGGAGUUCGUACGAUUAUGUUACGAAUUUUGGAAAUAUGAGAUUCUUUUUAUAAUCUCUUUUCCUCGGAUUCUCUUUUAGAAAUUUCUUUUUCUUCCUUUUCCUUUUCCUUUUCCUUUCCUCCGGGUCUCCUUCCUUCUUUUUCUUUUUCUCUUUUUUUUUUCUUCUUUCUCUCUCUCGCUCGACCGAAACCGAAAACAGAGCAAAGGCUCUUCGGUCUCUCUCUACCUCCACCGGCCACCAAACGGCGUCGAACCACUUCCUUUUGCUUCGUCUCAGCCUUGCGCAGCUGCCAGAGGCAGCCUUGCACCGUGACACGGCCACCAGCGGCGGCGGGAAGCUCCGCCCGGUUUGAGCUCGUUUUGGAAACAAGCUUGAUAUCUCAAGCUACCGGUCACCAAUCCUCACCAAAAUCCAUCCACAAGCUCGCCUCAACUUCCUGAAACUCCCAGAAGCAGCCUCACACGGCGGCGUGGCCCGUAGCAGUGGCUGCAAGUCAAACCCAACCAAGAACGAGACCGGAGCUAUCGAUCAAGAUAUCUCGAGCUGUAGUGCAUCGUUUUGAUUGAUUCUUUUUCCAGUGGGUUCCCCUUGAUGUUAUUAACAACUCUCUAGAAGGCAUCGAGGCCUGAAAUUGAAGCUUUGACGUCGAAAUCGAGCCUUGCCGGAUUCUGCAAAAUUCUGGAAUUUUUCCGACCACCGAAGCUUUCGAUCGGUAUAUCUCGAGCUACAGACCAUAUUUUUCUGUGAUUCUUGAACCAGUGAGUUCUUCUUGAGUUUCUUAACAACUCUUCAGAAGGAAUCGAAGCCUUAAAUUGACGUUUUUACGUCGAAUUGGAGCUCGCCGUUUUCUGCAGUUUCUCGCCGGUUUCUGGAAAAUUCCGGCCACCUUCAUACUGUUCAAGGUGAUCGACGGUUUGAUUUGGCGGACGAUUCGUGAAAUUGUAUUUUGAGCUGUUAAGAAGACGCAGCGGGAAUUUAGAGCGGGUAAUCCUACAGGACAGGAGAACCAGGACGGUGAUCGUGCGGUUAGAGCAAUGGUUAUAGUUUUACAGCAAUUGUAAUAGUGAGGCGAGUUAAGCUCAUUUGAGCAUUACAAUUUGAUUUGGUGGGAGUGUGCUGUAAUAAAUAACUUGAGGAUUUGGGUUAUUGUAAAUUUGAGAGUUGUGAAGUGUGGUUGUUUGUGAGAAAAAAAUUCAGGAUGUUAGUUGUAAUUUGUUAUUAUUCAUGUUUCGGAUUUGAAUUGAUUAUUCAAAA